rnacentral:rRNA from 1 species
GAUGAACGCUGGCGGCGUGCCUAAUACAUGCAAGUCGAGCGGACAGACGAGGAGCUUGCUCCUUUGACGUUAGCGGCGGACGGGUGAGUAACACGUGGGUAACCUACCUAUAAGACUGGGAUAACUUCGGGAAACCGGAGCUAAUACCGGAUAAUAUUUCGAACCGCAUGGUUCGAUAGUGAAAGAUGGCUUUGCUAUCACUUAUAGAUGGACCUGCGCCGUAUUAGCUAGUUGGUAAGGUAACGGCUUACCAAGGCAACGAUACGUAGCCGACCUGAGAGGGUGAUCGGCCACACUGGAACUGAGACACGGUCCAGACUCCUACGGGAGGCAGCAGUAGGGAAUCUUCCGCAAUGGGCGAAAGCCUGACGGAGCAACGCCGCGUGAGUGAUGAAGGUCUUCGGAUCGUAAAACUCUGUUAUUAGGGAAGAACAAACGUGUAAGUAACUGUGCACGUCUUGACGGUACCUAAGCAGAAAGCCACGGCUAACUACGU